GCUGGGCCAACUACAGUCCUCUCUGGAGCACCAGAGCCAGACCCGGGAUGGGCUCACUGUGGCCAAACACAUACAGAAGCUUCCAAGGACUGCGGCCUCCGUCUGGGGCUUUGAAGAUUUCCUGGGGGGAAAUCCCUCCUAAGAAGUGCUAUUCCUGGCUCUGCUGACAAGCAGAAAGUUUCAAGAGAAGAAGUGGAAAAUUCCAGGGGCAAUAAAAAUUUAGAAAUUAAUUCAAGACUGAAACUCCAGCUGUAUAUUCCUGGCAGCCAGUACAACACUUGGCUUAUGAAGAACGCUCAAUGAACUUUUGUUGAAUGAGAUGAAUGCAGCAACCUGCCUAACACAAAAUGACCUUCAAUGAGAGAUUGUUGUUUCUAUAUUUGUAGCUGCAUUGUCUCAGAUCAGAUACUUACUAAGCUCUGGUUUUUCCAAAGCUCUGGUUUCUCCAACCACAAGCUGCA
rnacentral:antisense_RNA from 1 species